rnacentral:rRNA from 1 species
UACAGAGGUCUCAAGCGUUGUUCGGAUUCAUUGGGCGUAAAGGGUGCGUAGGUGGCGUGGUAAGUCGGGUGUGAAAUUUCGGAGCUUAACUCCGAAACUGCAUUCGAUACUGCCGUGCUUGAGGACUGGAGAGGAGACUGGAAUUACGGUGUAGCAGUGAAUGCGCAGAUAUCGGGAAGAACACCCGUGGCUAAGGCGGCUACUCUAGUACGGUACGUGACGCGUGAGACGGCGAAAAGCGUGGGAGCGAA